rnacentral:rRNA from 1 species
UACGGAGGGGGCUAGCGUUGUUCGGAAUUACUGGGCGUAAAGCGCGCGUAGGCGGACCGGCAAGUCGGGGGUGAAAGCCCGAGGCUCAACCUCGGAACUGCCUUUGAUACUGAAGAUCUUGAGUUCGGGAGAGGUGAGUGGAACUGCGAGUGUAGAGGUGAAAUUCGUAGAUAUUCGCAAGAACACCAGUGGCGAAGGCGGCUCACUGGCCCGAUACUGACGCUGAGGCACGAAAGCGUGGGGAGCAAACAGG